GACAGAGGGUGCAAACGUUGUUCGGAAUUACUGGGCGUAAAGCGAGUGUAGGCGGUCUGAAAAGUCGGAUGUGAAAGCCCCGGGCUCAACCCGGGAAGUGCAUUCGAAACUGCCAGGCUAGAGUGUCGGAGAGGUUGGUGGAAUUCUCGGUGUAGAGGUGAAAUUCGUAGAUAUCGGGAGGAACACCAGUGGCGAAGGCGGCGAUCUGGGAAGAUACUGACGCUGAGGUGCGAAAGCGUGGGGAGCAAACAGG
rnacentral:rRNA from 1 species